GGGAAUGGCUGCAGCUCAGUGGUAGAGCACCUGCUUUGCAUGCAGAAUGUUCCAGGUUUGAUCCCCAGCAUCUCCA